GAUGAAAUGGCUGAGAAAAGUGAUAAAUUGUAAUUUUAUUAAUGAUUAAUAAUCUUUCAUUA
rnacentral:tRNA from 1 species